GCUGUUGGGUAGCACUAAAAAUAAAAUUUAAAAAACCCAACAACUUCUAUCCAGGCCAUUCAUGUCCUAUCAAACAGUUUCACUGGGCACUAAAGCAUGCUCAUAAAAUUUAUAUUUUAUUGCUUCCUCUUAUAUCAGAUUAACUACCAACUAGUAUCAUGUUUGCCCUACAGGCUUCCACCAUCUUUCCAAAUAGAGUAUGAAAGAGACUACUGACUGUUCAUGAGGCCUGUGUCUUCCUCUUCCUGAGUCCUUCCUGAGCCCACAGCUACAUUAAAUUUCCCAGACUCUUUUUUGUUGAGUUCGACAAUGUGACUGAGUGCGAAUCAGUGUCAUAUGAGAAGACAUGAUGUAACAGUUACAGGCCUAGCCUAUAAAUGUCUGCCUAGUGUGUAAUAUCUCCCUUCAUGCUCAUCCACUCUGUACAUAAAUGAUUUCAAAAUCUGCCUCAGUGUAAAAGGAAUAGCAUAUACAUGAUGAUGGCAGCAUGAACAAGAAAAACACACUCUUACACAGUUAAGCUAAUGAAAUAUUGGGGAUUGCUUGUUGCAACACCCAUGGUUACUGUAAUGCAUGAAGGCAGAUGAUAUUUUUAGUAAGGUUGAACAUGUCAUAUUAUAAGAUGUGUGCAUUUUUGCCAUGUAUUGCAUUUCCGCUUUGAGGCAUUGUUCCUUUCCUUAUGAUGUGUGUUCUAGCCCAACAGAAUUCUGUGGAAGUUAUGAAGUGGAAGGCAGGAGAACGCAAAGCUUUGAAGAAGAGAAAGAGGUUUGAGAGCUUGAAUUCAGGUUAUUCAUUUUUGGCAAGAAUACUAAAAAGUUCUGUGAUGCUCUGAAGAGAGAGAGGCCACAUAUGAGGAGAGAGAUCUCCACUACCUCAAAGUUAGUUGAAUUCUAUGAGAGAUUAAAAGGUAGGUUGCUGGAUUUCUUUCGUUUUGCUUUCGUUUUUAUCCACUUGGUUGUUUGUAGAUCUGUAUUUGAAGGUAGGUUGAAGUGUCUGCUUCUUAUUCCUCUCUAAUUCACCCUCUAUGCUGUUUUAAUUCCUAGAACUGACAAGGAAUACCACUCAGUAGCCUCGAAUAGCCAUGGUUAAUUGCCUUCACUUUCUCACCUGUAUCUUUUUCUUGCAAAAGCAUUUUGUUUUGUUUGGCUUUUUUUAUUUUGGUUUUUAAACAGGCCAUGUGUUCUGGCCUAAAUGAUGG
rnacentral:lncRNA from 1 species